rnacentral:rRNA from 1 species
UACAUGGGGUGCAAACGUUGCUCGGAAUUAUUGGGCGUAAAGCGCGCGUAGGCGGUUACUCAAGUCGGAUGUGAAAGCCCUCGGCUUAACUGAGGAAGUGCACCCGAAACUGAGUAGCUAGAGUACCAAAGAGGGUCGCGGAAUUCCCGGUGUAGAGGUGAAAUUCGUAGAUAUCGGGAGGAACACCGGUGGCGAAGGCGGCGACCUGGGUGGAUACUGACGCUGAUGCGCGAAAGCUAGGGGAGCGAACGGG